AUGCAAGUCGAGCGGUAACAGGAAGAAAGCUUGCUUUCUUUGCUGACGAGCGGCGGACGGGUGAGUAAUGCCUAGGAAAUUGCCCUGAUGUGGGGGAUAACCAUUGGAAACGAUGGCUAAUACCGCAUAAUCUCUUCGGAGCAAAGAGGGGGACCUUCGGGCCUCUCGCGUCAGGAUAUGCCUAGGUGGGAUUAGCUAGUUGGUGAGGUAAUGGCUCACCAAGGCGACGAUCCCUAGCUGGUCUGAGAGGAUGAUCAGCCACACUGGAACUGAGACACGGUCCAGACUCCUACGGGAGGCAGCAGUGGGGAAUAUUGCACAAUGGGCGCAAGCCUGAUGCAGCCAUGCCGCGUGUAUGAAGAAGGCCUUCGGGUUGUAAAGUACUUUCAGUCGUGAGGAAGGCAUCAACGUUAAUAGCGUUGGUGUUUGACGUUAGCGACAGAAGAAGCACCGGCUAACUCCGUGCCAGCAGCCGCGGUAAUACGGAGGGUGCGAGCGUUAAUCGGAAUUACUGGGCGUAAAGCGCAUGCAGGUGGUUCGUUAAGUCAGAUGUGAAAGCCCGGGGCUCAACCUCGGAAUUGCAUUUGAAACUGGCGGACUAGAGUACUGUAGAGGGGGGUAGAAUUUC
rnacentral:rRNA from 1 species